CAAAGCAUCUUUCAGGAAAAUAUUUUGUGAAUUUCAAUUGACAAUUUAUAAUACAUUAAUAUUUUAAAUACACAUUGUAAAUAUAACAUACAUAUAAAACAUUGUCCAAUAAAAAAAAUAGAAAAGAAACCCAAAAUAUUUAGAAUUAAUAAUAGAAUUCAACAAACGGAGCAAACAGUCUAAACACAGGGAAUAUUGUUUGAGUUUAAAAGUCAUGACGGGGAUUUGAGGAGGAAUGGACAUCCAAAGUUCAGACAGCCGACGGAAAGACAGCCAUCAUUCAGACAGCCGACAGAAAGACAGCCAUCAUUCAGACAGCCGACAGAAAGACAGCAGUCAUUACGGUUGAAAAAAAAUAACUGGACCUGAGCGUGUCCAAAAUGGCACCCUAUAUAGUCUACCACCUAUAGGCCCAAGUCAAGACAAAAGGAGCUCACUAUAUAGGAAAUAGGGUGCCAUUACAGACAGUCAUGUUCUCAGAGCAUGCCUGCCUAACUGUUGUUGGAAACUACUAGUAAUCUAACAGCUUCAAAUGGCAUCUCAAAUACAAACAGUAAUCAUCUCAAAUACAAACAGUAAUCAUCUCAAAUACAAACAGUAAUCAUCUCAAAUACAAACAGUAAUCAUCUCAAAUACAAACAGUAAUCAUCUCAAAUACAAACAGUAAGAAUCUCAAAUACAAACAGUUGGGGAGAGAAGAGUUACUGUAAUCAUCUCAAAUACAAACAGUUGGUGAGAGAAGAGUUACUGUAAUCAUCUCAAAUACAAACAGUUGGUGAGAGAAGAGUUACUGUAAUCAUCUCAAAUACAAACAGUUGGGGAGAGAAGAGUUACUGUAAUCAUCUCAAAUACAAACAGUUGGGGAGAGAUGACCGUAAUGAUCUCAAAGUGACAAGUAGAGGCUACUAAGAAUGCACAUAGAUUUCAUUUCUCUACAUAAACUGCUUCCAACGUCGUUUUAAAGAAUUUGGGAGUACGUCCAACUGGCCUCACAACCUCAGACCACGUGCAUGGCGUUGUGUGCGUAAGCGGUUUUCUGAUGUCAAUGUUGUGAACAGUGUCCCAUGGUGGCGGUGGGCUUAAACUACAUACAACAUUUUAUAUUAUUGAUGGCAAUUUGAAUGCACAGAAAUACCGUAACGAUAUCCCGAGGCGCAUGAAAUACCGUAACGAUAUCCCGAGGCCCAUGAAAUACCCUAACGAUAUCCCGAGGCCCAUGAAAUACCGUAACGAUAUCCCGAGGCCCAUGAAAUACCCUAACGAUAUCCCGAGGCCCAUGAAAUACCGUAACGAUAUCCCGAGGCCCACGAAAUACCCUAACGAUAUCCCGAGGCCCA
rnacentral:lncRNA from 1 species